CCUACGGGUGGCAGCAGUGAGGAAUAUUGGUCAAUGGCCGUAAGGCUGAACCAGCCAAGUCGCGUGAAGGAAGACGGAUCUAUGGUUUGUAAACUUCUUUUAUAGGGGAAUAAAGGUAUCCACGUGUGGAUAUUUGCAUGUACCCUAUGAAUAAGCAUCGGAUAACUCCGUGCCAGCAGCCGCGGUAAUACGGAGGAUGCGAGUGUUAGGCGGAUUUGUUGGGAUUAAAGGGGGAGUAGGUUGUUUUUUAAGUCAGCGGUGAAAGGUUGGGGCACAACCAUAAAGUUGUCGAUGAAACUGGAAGACAGGAGAGUAUUGGAGGUAGGCAGAAGGCGUGGAGUAGCGGAGAAAUGCAUAGAUAUCACGAAGAACGCCGAUUGCGAAAGUAGCUUACUAAGCCAUAACUGACACUGAAGCACGAAAGCGUGGGGAUCAAACAGGAUUAGAUACCCCUGUA
rnacentral:rRNA from 1 species